rnacentral:rRNA from 1 species
AUGAUGGAGGACGCGUUCGACUUCAUCGCCCGGAACGGCGGCAUCGACACGGAGGAGGACUACCCCUACACCGCCAAGGACGGCAGGUGCGACCACGCCAAGAGGAGCCGCACGGUGGUGUCCAUCGACGGCUUCGAGUCGGUGCCGGAGAACGACGAGCUGUCGCUGAAGAAGGCGGUGGCGCACCAGCCCGUGAGCGUGGGCAUCGAGGCCGGCGGCCCCGAGUUCCAGCUGUACGAGUCGGGGGUGUUCACCGGCAGGUGCGGCACGGAGCUGGACCACGGCGUGGUGGCGGUGGGGUACGGCACCGACAAUGGCAGGGACUACUGGAGCGUGCGCAACUCAUGGGGCCCGGACUGGGGCGAGGACGGCUACAUCCGGAUGGAGCGCAACGUCACCGCGAGCACCGGCAAGUGCGGCAUCGCCAUGAUGGCGUCCUACCCCGUCAAGAACGGGCCCAACCCGUCACCCAAGCCACCAAACCCGCCGAAGCCGAAGCCGGUGGCCUGCGACCGCCACAGCAAGUGCCCGGCGGGGAGCACCUGCUGCUGCACCCACGGCGUCAGGAAGACGUGCUUCGUCUGGGGGUGCUGCCCUGCCAAGGGCGCCACCUGCUGCAAGGACGGCGCCACCUGCUGCCCGUCGGACUACCCCGUCUGCAACGCCAGAAUCGCACUUGCUCCAAGAGCAAGAACAGCCCGUACACCGUGGAGGCGCUCAUCCGUACUCCGGCCAAGCGAAGCAGGACAACGACACUUACACAACUGGUUGAUUUAG